rnacentral:rRNA from 1 species
CAUACCGAAAGGUAUGCUAAUACGGGAUAAUAUAUUUGAGAGGCAUCUCUUAAAUAUCAAAGGUGAGCCAGUACAGGAUGGACCCGCGUCUGAUUAGCUAGUUGGUAAGGUAACGGCUUACCAAGGCGACGAUCAGUAGCCGACCUGAGAGGGUGAUCGGCCACAUUGGAACUGAGACACGGUCCAAACUCCUACGGGAGGCAGCAGGGGGGAAUAUUGCACAAUGGGCGAAAGCCUGAUGCAGCAACGCCGCGUGAGUGAUGAAGGCCUUCGGGUCGUAAAACUCUGUCCUCAAGGAAGAUAAUGACGGUACUUGAGGAGGAAGCCCCGGCUAA